UAUUUUUUUUUUUUUUUUUUUUUUAAAUCCAGGGCCUCUGUAGCUUAACUGAAUAUCUUUAUUUAAAUUCCUACACCAAUACAGUGCAUGUAACAUCUGGGCAGUUGAGCAGUUCAGAUGAACAGAUGUUCUGCGGAAAGAUAGCUCUAUCCCAACAAUGGUACACACUGUACAGACAGCAAUCACACCUACAUAAGAAUUCAAAUCUUAAAACCUUCACAACACCUCUUAGAUUCUUUGUCUCCAUUAAGAAAAAAAGCUUCCUGUCGGAGGACUUUUCCCUCUCCUUCCUUCCUUCGUACAGAGAGGUAGUGAUGCAGUACUAGAGGACAGCUCUAGGGCAAUUACUCUCCCAGUCACUCUGCCCUGACAUGACACCUCAUGCGCAGAGCAGCAAAAGCUCAACAAAGUUCAGCGGCUUAGAGAAACACAACAUAAAAAUGCUUAAAAUCUCACCCAGUCCAGCCCAGAUACUUCACAAACACAUCCAGUCUUCACAUCUCAGCGCCCAAAAACUUAAACCCUUUCGUGCAUGCAAGCAGAACAACUCCAUGCUCAAAUUAAACUUGGCUAGGGGUGAGGGGGUGGUAUACCUUCAGAUGCUUAGCCUCAUUGUGCACGAGGCUGUUUGCUGAUGCCAAGGUGAGCGGCAAGCUCAAUGUCUACAUUUGACAAAUCCGCUAAUGACAAAUGUCCUCUUUCUAAAGUGCCCACAGACACAUUAGCAGAUCUUUGAUUUGCCAUAGAAAAGGUCACAGUACACUAAUUCAAAACCAGUUAACUAUCGCAGGACGAGGGCUCCAACUGUGACUGAACACAGGUAUGCAGAGUUGACUCUGCUGCACUCAGAAGCCUACGACAACCCAGACAGAGGCGGCAAAAGCAAGUUAAAGUUCCAAUCAUCUGCUGUCUGCCUUAGUGCUGCUAAUAGCAAAAUGUUUUCUGAGCAGUCUGUGAAAACAUUGCUGUAUCUUCUUUUUAACUGUAUUUUUUUGAACAGUAAGACUGGUCCCCUCUCUUUGGAUCUGAAUGUGAGGGGUUAACAGGGAAAUUAAGUUUGCUACUGUGGAAGGAACGUGAUGCCCCUUGUCCCCUACCCCACCCAGCGUGCACCAACUUGGGCUGUCGUGCACCCCUUCGACUCCCCCUGCCAUUGAGUUCUGCAUCAGGGGGCACCACUCUGCCAAGGCUGGCUGGUCACAUGACCGACACAAAGGCUUAUGGGUGGGCAGUCUCAACCAUCAAUCACGUGAUUCUGCUGGGUGUGGGUGGCAGGCGAGAGGAGAGGGACAGCGAAUGGGAAACGAUGGUGGGGGAUGGGCGAGUCGGUAUGGGGUGAGGAGGGUUGUUAACUAUCGUUGAGGAAGCACUGAGGUGUUUCAGUGAGGAAUUUUCCUCCCCGAUACCCCCCUCCAACUAGCCUGCCCAACCCUGCCUUCCCCCGCGCUUCAAAGCCCCCUUCUAGCUCCAAACUACAAUCACAGUCCUUCCCUCUCCUCCCUCCCUCCCUGCUGCACCGCAAAAGCCCAGAACAUUCAGCCAGCGGACAUAACCUGGAGUCCCGCUUCAGUGCCUGCAUGCAGCAUGCACGCCCGUGCAGUCAGCAGGCAUCUGCAAAAUAAUCACUAACACUAAGACACCCAGCAAGACACAAUGUCAGAGCUGCUAAGUAUGUAAUCCUAUUUCCACGACUGAUCAAAAGCUGCAAACACUGAGUGACAGACAGCAACUACCAAACUUUACACAUCACACUGCGAUGGGCCUGUGAAAAAUCAAAAACCACAUCUGUGUGAACACAACUCCAGAUAAGCGCUGGGCCUCAGCGAAUGUGAAAGCAACCAGCAGAGACGCAGAGGCCUCUCUCACUCUCUUUCACACACACAAACGUGAGCACACAGGUGAGCACUGAAACAGCACAAGCCCGAGCUAUAAUCGGCGAGUCGAAAUGGGCAGCUCAUGCCAGGAUCAGAUGAGCUCUCUGUUGACUCAUGGGUGUGAGCGCAUCAGCUGAAAACUUUUCAUUUGAAUGCCGCACAUGCGUUGACUGACCAUGCAGGGGACGGUGGGUUUCUGUCUGUUAUAUGUGUGUGUCAGCAUUUGCAUGUGUUGGCUUCCUGUGAGAUUGAGAGUAGAGGGGGUGGGGGGUAGGAGUGGGGUGCGUGUGAGCUCUUGGUGAGUGUGUGUAUGUGGCGUGCGGGGGAGGCUGGCUGCAUGCCUCUGUGUGAGGCUUGUUUACCGAGGUAGUCAGGCUGCAAUUUUUCCUGUGUGUGAGAGUCAGAGAGCUCUCCCAGUGACACACAAAGACAUUUUUUUUGACCUCUUGGUUCAUAACCUAUAUUAUUCUAUGUCUCAUCAUUGGCUCAGCAUGGCGUGACCUUCUUUCAUCCGGUGGCCUGACUCUCAUCUAGGCUCGGGAUGUAUCCUCUGAGCACAGACCAAUAAUAGCUCUCUCUUGCACGCACACACACACCUUCGUAUAGCUUCACACAAACUAAACUACUCAUCUCGUCACCUCACUGAGAAUGCAGGUGUAACACUGAUGUGUGCAUGAAACAAAUGUUCUCCCAGUAGGAUGACGAAAAGGUGUACAGCACAGGCAGCUUUCUCCUAGUUUCCUCGCUCUUCCUCGUCUUCUUCACCCUCACUCCCCCUCCCUUUCUCCAACAGCCUCUGCACCCUCUGCUUCCCCUCCCUCCGCUUCUUCCUCUCAGAGCAAGUUUGGCCCAGGGAGACAGGUCGGCAGCGCCACUGGUGUGUUACUGUCCCCAUGGCAACCACCUCCUACCCCCUCUUUCUCUCUCCUACCAGCUCAUUUCUCUGAAGUACACGCAUGUGGGUAAACACGCACACGUCUCCUAUGCCAUCCAGUCUCUGGCUCUAGCGGGGCUUGUUUGUUCCACACGCCCCUGUCAGUGGUAUUUGGAGAGUCCCUGCCCUGCUCCUAUUUCAGUGCCUCCCUCACGCGGUGCUCAUGUCUCUCUGCUAGGUGUGGUCGCUGUCGCCAAGGCACACUACUGGCCAAAGCUGAUGGCGUCUCUUCCUGUUAACUCAGUGUCUGUGAGUCUUGGUUCAGGCAUCUGCCCAGGCUACUGCUCUGCGGCUCCUGUGUUUCGGCCUACAGGGGCCUAAAGUCACGCAGGGCUCCUGUAGUCACUGUAGGCAAUGCAGCCAUGAGCACAUAAACAGGCCUGGCCUAUCUGCCAGAUGCUAUCCUUUCAGGAGAUGACAACCUCUCACCCCUGUGCGCUUUCCCCAAGCCCGCCCUCAUCCAGCACGGCUGUCUGUGCAUUAAAGCAAAAAAAAAAAAAUCCUACGCCGUGUUUUCUUCUGCCUCAAAACAAACAAACAAACAAAACAAAAAAACGCCUUAAGCAGCUAACCUCCUCUCGUCAAUCAUUUUCAGGGUCUUGUUCGCUCAUACACCCCUGCUCUCGAACAACCCACCACUAGAAAUGCUCACAGGUUCUCUGCAGCCCAACUUCUUUCCACUCCCUCUUCGGCUCGCACACAAUGCAGGCAACAAUCAGAGUGCCUCUGAGCCUCAGUGACAGCGCAGUGUCAUUUUCAUGUGAUCCUCAGUCUCAGGUCAAGGGAGCGUGUGGCUGUGUGGGUUGUGCACGGCUGCAUUGCUGUGGCCGCUGCCGGUGCAUGCGUUAAAAUUGGGUUGCUGAGAGGGGAGGGAGAGAAAAAUGGCGGAGCACCAUGCCUCUGUGCUGUCCAACCUAAAAUGGCUGACAUCACAAGCUGUUAACCAGCCAAGCAGAGCCAAGAGGCUGCUGCCGCUGCUGACCCAGACCUGCUCGCUGUGGAUGUGCGAGUGGCUUGCUCUGCUCUUCCCCAAGACUGUGAAAAGGCUCUUGAGUAGCAGAUGAUUCCUGUUUUUGAUUUUUUCUUUUUGUGGCCAUACUUGGUAGAGAUCUGUAAAUAAACUGUCUUACAUGGGUCUGCAGGCGCAGAUGUGAUGGAAAGUCAUUACCUACAGACUGACACACUCCAAGAAUUGUUCAGCCUCAUUAAAUCAUCAGCACAACAUUUAAUACUUAACAAGGGUUGCAAGUAAAGCAUUUAAAAAGUUGUCUAAAAUAUGCAAAGGCACCAUCGGAUUUUAAUAAGCGACGCACUGAAUAAUCCUUCCACACAAAGCCACUCAACCUGUGUCAGCUACCAACCUAAAUCUGAGGAAGAGAAAGGGAGGAGAAAGGAGGGAGGGAAACAGGGCCCAGGAGGUGGAGGUGGUAGUGAUGAUGAUGGCAGAAGAGGAGGGGGGGCAGAGUGUACUAUUGACUGAAAUCUACAGCCAUCAGCACACCAGCACAAAGAAAUACAGAAAGCUAGUAACAACAAUAACAAUACUAAUCAUCACCUAUAGCUCCCCUCACAGCUGAUCCACGUGUGAUCUGAGCAGCAGUGUGGAAAACCUGGCCUGUUUCUAAAAGUGUAAAAAGGUGAGCUGGAUUAAGCUAAGUGUCCGUGCCUGGGACUCACGUGGACAUCAGACACAAAUUAGCGGUGUGGGAAAUCUUUGCUCUAAUCCCUGCAGUCACACUCACUCAUGACAACAGUGAAAUACAAGUAAGACAAGUGGCUGCUAGAGAACAACAAACCCAGCUGGUGGAAGAAAAAAAAGUGUCAUUUUCAUUUUAAAACAAAGGUCCACACACAUGGAUCUUUCAAGCUAAAUUUUAAAAAAUGCAUUAAAUAGAUGGUAGAUAUAUGAUGCAAGUGAUUGGGACUUUUUAAAGUGACUCCCAAACUUCUUCAUUCAUAUCACGGAUUGACGGAUUGGAAGAAAUUUUGGAAAUUCAGCGCUUUGUUUACAGGACAUAUUACAGGAUUUUUUUUUCCUGGUAGGUGGGUGGGGGCUUCAGUGCACCCUGACAACAUCUAAUUGGCGCUAAUUUGGUGAUUAAUCGGCGAUAUUCCGCGAAAAUAGGAGGUAUAAUAAGCGGCUGCGCUGCAAUGUUUCGGUCCCUGAGCGCAGCAGCGUCAGAUAUUUCCGAAAAAUGAUGCGUGUUCAUCUUCCGCUCAAGUUAGGCGGAGUGAGCCCCAACUUAAAGGGCUUGUCUGCAUUAUAGGUUGGCUGUCGCCAUUUUAAGCAGGCGACAUGCAGCUGGCCAGCGCCGCUGAGCCACAAGCCCGUAAAGCAGGCAGUGAAAGGGGAGGAAAAUACGACGGACGUACCGAGGGAAGAGGCAGACACGUGACGCCGACGUCACUGACGGUGGAAUUGGCGUGAGAGCUCGAGCUCCGCCGAGCACAGAGCAUGAAGUGACUCACAUAUCCCGU